rnacentral:rRNA from 1 species
AGCGAACGCUGGCGGCAGGCCUAACACAUGCAAGUCGAACGAAGUCUUCGGACUUAGUGGCGGACGGGUGAGUAACACGUGGGAACGUGCCUUUAGGUUCGGAAUAACUCAGGGAAACUUGUGCUAAUACCGAAUGUGCCCUUCGGGGGAAAGAUUUAUCGCCUUUAGAGCGGCCCGCGUCUGAUUAGCUAGUUAGUGAGGUAAAGGCUCACCAAGGCGACGAUCAGUAGCUGGUCUGAGAGGAUGAUCAGCCACAUUGGGACUGAGACACGGCCCAAACUCCUACGGGAGGCAGCAGUGGGGAAUCUUGCGCAAUGGGCGAAAGCCUGACGCAGCCAUGCCGCGUGAAUGAUGAAGGUCUUAGGAUUGUAAAAUUCUUUCACCGGGGACGAUAAUGACGGUACCCGGAGAAGAAGCUCCGGCUAACUUCGUGCCAGCCGCCGCGGUAACAC